GACUACUCAGCAGGAUGUAGUUCAGAGUUACCGCUCAGCCUCUGCCUGCAUGCUACCUGGCUUCCUGCUAUGAUGAUAACGGACUAGACCUUUGAACCAUCAUUUCACAGAAGUACUCUUGAGGAUAGCUGCAGUCAAGAGUCUGCCCACAGCAAACAGGAGAUGGACAACAGCUUUAAUAGCCUCUGGUACUGACGAAAGGGUUCCCUGCCGACAAUGGUGUUGAGGAGUCUGUUCCUGGCUUAUUCUUCUAGGCCAGUGUCCUCCACUGCUGCUGCUGGCUGAUCUGAUGUACUAAUUCAUCUCCUAUCCUGAAAUUAUGGAUAACUCCCUGCUUCUGACCUGUGUGUGUGUCGCAUGAGUUUGGGCUCUGGGCCUCCACCCUCCACAGCUGGGUCUCCUCUCAAGAUCUCAGUCUUCUUUGUGAGUGCCAUGUUUCUUCAGGCUCUCUCUUGAGUCUGUUUUAGAACAUUCACAUCCUUUGAGUGGUUUCUUUGGGAGAAGCACAAGAAGAUGUCCCCCGGGGCUCAGGGUUUUCACAAACUCUAGUUCAAAACCUACCAGAACACUGGCCUUGCUAGUCUGUGGUGUUCUCGGAAGGAGGUUAAGUCAGUGAAUGAAGAAGAGUCCUUGGUGGCCCAUAUGACCUCAGCAGACGGAUCCUGAGUCCUGCACGGCUCUCCUGAGUUGCUCACCUUGGCUUGCCUGCUUCCUUGGCUGACCUCUACACACUGGCUGGGUGGGUCCAGAUAAUACCAACAGUUUUGUUCCACAAACUGUAUUUCUCAAGAUGUAGCCCUAAGGAACUGUGAUUUAUCCUCCAUGUCUGCUUCUUCAGGAAGCCUCUACCCAUUAGCAGUGUGGGGUUAAUUUUCCUCCAGCCAGGCUGUAGUGCGCAUGUCUGCAUCUUUCCCAUAAAUGAGUGACUUUCUAUCUCUUUCCUGCAUUUAGAACAGUUCUUGACCAUACAGGGAACUCAUUCAGCCUGUGUUCAGUCAAUCCAAAAGAUAAAAAAAAAAUUUUACUGUGUCAGUGUAUGUACUAGUAAUUUUCAUUGUAAUCAGAUCUGUGACCUCUAUCCUACGGGAACCAGUUCCUAAGACAGUAAGGGCACUUUCCCAUGCUGUUCUAGCUUCCACAAACUGAGCAACCACACUGCUGUGAGUCUAUCCUUCCCAGCUGCUCAGCUAACAGUGGUUCCACCUGUCUCUCAGUGGUAUCUGUAGUGCCACAGACAAAUGAGUGGCUUUAUUACCGUGACUUUUCAAGGAUAAUUACAGGGCUCUUGGCUUGCCAUUGCUAGCUGGCAAAACUCUUAGCUGGAGACCAAAGGAAGGUGGGAGUUGAAAGCUCAUAGGAAACACACAGCUCUGUGACCAUAUAGUUUCUUACACAAUCUUUUGGAUGCAGCAGACAAAUAGAUAUCAUUAUAGUUUGGUUCCCUUGUGAAUAUCAGUGAAGAACAUGCAGAAGCUUACAGAGUUAAAAUUAUAAAUCCUUGCUUUGGGUUAUGAUAAUGGUCAAGCCUCACCUGACAUGACCUCACCUGCAUAGUACCUGAGCUCUGUGUGUCCAGGCUAUACUACCUUCUCUGUCUGGGAUCAAGAUGUCUAGUGAGUUCACAAGCUUAGUGAAUAAUGAACAGCCAUGAGUUGUGAUGUUCCCCAUCUGCGGCUCAGUAAAGGUGCCCCACUUCUGGCUUUGGAAUAACUUACAUUUCUCCAGGGUCCAAAGUCAGGGCAAGGGUUGCACUGUAGAGUUCCAUCUUAUAUAUAUAUGCUGGAGUCAGCUCUAUACAAGAGGUGAGGGAGCUCCCAAGGUCUGGACUGUGCCUGUAGGGUUCCUGGUCUUCUGGUCACUGCCAGCCAUGUUGCGACAUUGCUCAGGACCAUCCCCGGAGUCACAUGCCAGAUUCUUCAGGAAAGGGCCCCUCACCAGACCCAAGGCAGUAAGAUCUGUCAAGAGUCAAGCUAUGGGUUUGAGAGAGGUAGUAUCUUGUAGACCACUCUCAUCUUAACAAAAGUCAACACUGUGCCUUGGGUUGGUAAAUAUCCAGCUUUGUAGGACUCUCUGUCAAAAAGAAAGUGGAGUGAGGGCAGCCCUUGUGGAUCCUGCCUGAGGUUCAGGAUGGUCUCUGGAAGUCUCUUUGAGUCUUAAGGGCCAUGAUUUGCUUUUUGCUGAAAGUCUACACUGGGAGCUAGGAGCCAGGCAGAAAGCACCCAUGUCUUUUGCUGCUUUUCUUUUUACCUUAGACUUUUCAGCCCAUCAAAUCAAUCACCGAAACACAAUGGCCCUAUUGAGUAGGACUUGUCACCUCUUGUUCUAGCUUGCUAGAAUAGGACCUCAUUGUUGAGUGGGGGCAUAAGGAGACUUCUUAAUUAAAGCAUAGCAUGCUUAAAAUUACAAGUACAUGAUUUUGCAUACUCCAAGAGUUUUUCUCCUGUCACAUGACUUUCUCCCUGGUCUUUAAAAGUAUCUUCUCCUUGUAACUUUGUUUCUUCUCUUGAACACUACCUUUAAAAUCGUUUCCACCUUCUC
rnacentral:lncRNA from 1 species